rnacentral:lncRNA from 1 species
CCACUAAUAUUAGUCAUUGAGAUUCAAAUGAUAUGGCGUAGUUUAGAUUAUAAAAUGUUUUUAUAGAAAGGCAAACCAAAAUUCUGUGAGCAUUCCUCACAAAACUUGAUCAUCUGCGUUCCUUUUCAUUCUUUCUCCAUUUUAUUUCUCAGUACCUUCUAGUUCCCCUAAAUAAUAUUUUCCAGGCAAAGUUUUAUAGAGAACUGAAAAUUUCUCCUCUUUUUGAUGAAGCUAAAAAAUUGCAGUAGGAAGGUAGUAGGUAGUGCUCUGUUUUGUUCUGCUGCUGCUAUAGAAUAGAGUUUCGGGACAAUUGGGACAUUUCAUGUGCUUUCCCCAAAACUGGACAGCAUCUCCUCGCACACCCUCUCACGUCACUAGUGCAAAUUUAUACUGACUCACUAUGUUUAUCUCUUUUUUCCUAGAUAAGGCUAAGUAUUUUUGGUGUUUCAAACAAUCCCUCAUACUACCAUGGUAAAUAUGACCAUAGUGCCCAGGAUAAGGUUAUCGUCU